rnacentral:misc_RNA from 1 species
AAAAAUAUUCGGAUCGGAAACAAGCUUUUCCAAGACUUCAAAUGGUGCUUAUUUAUUUUGGUUACAUAUUUGUUACAAGACUGUGUUAUUGAUGUAAAUAAUGACUGAUGUAAUGUUUUAAUUGUUAUUUAUGGACUGUUCUGAAACAGUCAUUAUUGUCAAUGCUGUUAGUAUGUGUAGUUUCCGUAUACAUGUACAGUGUAAUUUAUUCGAUAGUUUAAUCACAGAUCAAUGACCAAAAAAUUAUCUAUACGUUCUUGCAUAGGGCAACACAUUCCGUUUUAAGUCAUCGUAAAAUUUCGGAAUGUGUCUGUGAUAUUACAGACAAAUUUACUUUUAUAAAUGCUUUUAAUUUAACACGCCCUUAUUCAUACACUCGACGCCAGGUCAAAAAUCAAAUAGAAAUGAUAUGGAACUUUUCAAAUCUAUUGUUUUAAGCUUAGCUCAAGAAGUAUAAUUGUGUUCUCAAUCUGUUGAUGAGGAAAGAAAUCAGGACUAUUCGUACUUAGGAUAUUUUCGCUUAUAUUUAAAUAAAAAUAAAUUGAAUUCUGAAUUGCCUAAAUUUUGAAAAAAAAUAAAAAUAAAUGCGUAACAAGAGAUGUCGCUAUUUUAAAAAAUUGUGAAAAAAGAUUAAUGUUUAUCAUUGUCAACAAAGCGAUUUAUUUAUUGUCCGCUAUCGGUCAGUAAGACAUGUCCUUUUUUCGUUAAUUGUUUUCGUUGUGUAUCCGAAUUUGUACUUACAGGCAAUGAUGGUGCAUGAUUCGAACAAAAAUUUAAAUAAUGUACACGGUGCUAAUGGACAGUAGAGCGUUUAAAAAAGCGUUAAAAAAGGACAAAUAAAUAUUGCAGUUUCAAGGACUAUCCUCUUUCGGCUUUGUAACUAUCUACAAGUUUAUAUAAUGCCAAUGUGAUUUCGAGUUUCUACAUUAAAUUGUUCCUAAGCAUAUAAUAGAUGUCUUCGAUAGAUCCAGUUUCGACCGUAUGAAGUAGUCCUUGGAAUGUUAACGUUACGUCUAAAUGAAAAAAUCAUUCUUUAACUCAUGAAAACGAGGUACACAGAAUUAUUUCAUAAUUAGCAAUUGAUAACAAGGGAAAUUGACGCCACUUUUUGGUAUGGAAUUCGUCGUUUUCCGGAAUUUUGAUUUGUUUUGUUUGGUAGUCUAUACAUCGUUUGUCACUGGUGUACACGAUUGUCAGGAUAUGUAUCUCCGAUCUAGUCAACACUAGACGGAUGCAGGGGUUUUUGCACGACAAGAAUAAAAUUGAAAAUAAACGUC